rnacentral:rRNA from 1 species
GUCGAACGCUGGCGGCGUGCCUAAUACAUGCAAGUAGAACGCUGAAGGAGGAGCUUGCUUCUCUGGAUGAGUUGCGAACGGGUGAGUAACGCGUAGGUAACCUGCCUGGUAGCGGGGGAUAACUAUUGGAAACGAUAGCUAAUACCGCAUAAGAGUAGAUGUUGCAUGACAUUUGCUUAAAAGGUGCAAUUGCAUCACUACCAGAUGGACCUGCGUUGUAUUAGCUAGUUGGUGGGGUAACGGCUCACCAAGGCGACGAUACAUAGCCGACCUGAGAGGGUGAUCGGCCACACUGGGACUGAGACACGGCCCAGACUCCUACGGGAGGCAGCAGUAGGGAAUCUUCGGCAAUGGACGGAAGUCUGACCGAGCAACGCCGCGUGAGUGAAGAAGGUUUUCGGAUCGUAAAGCUCUGUUGUAAGAGAAGAACGAGUGUGAGAGUGGAAAGUUCACACUGUGACGGUAUCUUACCAGAAAGGGACGGCUAACUACGUG